rnacentral:rRNA from 1 species
CCUACGGGAGGCAGCAGUGAGGAAUAUUGGUCAAUGGACGAGAGUCUGAACCAGCCAAGUAGCGUGAAGGAUGACUGCCCUAUGGGUUGUAAACUUCUUUUAUAUGGGAAUAAAAUGUUCCACGUGUGGGAUUUUGUAUGUACCAACUGCAUAACGAUCGGGUAACUCCGGUACAGCAGCCGCGGUAAUACGGAGGAUCCGAGCGUUAUCCGGAUUUAUUGGGUUUAAAGGGAGCGUAGGUGGAUUGUUAAGUCAGUUGUGAAAGUUUGCGGCUCAACCGUAAAAUUGCAGUUGAAACUGGCAGUCUUGAGUACAGUAGAGGUGGGCGGAAUUCGUGGUGUAGCGGUGAAAUGCUUAGAUAUCACGAAGAACUCCGAUUGCGAAGGCAGUUCACUGGACUGUAACUGACACUGAGGCUCGAAAGUGUGGGUAUCAAACAGGAUUAGAUACCCUUGUAGUC